UGAUGCUCAGGCAAUGUGCUCCCGGG
rnacentral:piRNA from 1 species